UUUAAUUAGCCAAACCAGGCUGCUCUUGAAUAUAAUUGCUUUCCUUAGCCGAAAGCACACUACUGUAAUUACUCAUCAUUAAGCGCACAAAGCCGUGAAAAGAAUUGUAUAAAAAACAUAUAAUCAUGCUUUCCUAAAAAAAAACAUACAAUCAUAGUACUGCUUUAAAAUAAAAUAAAAUAAAGUAAAAACAUUAGAGGAAAAAAUGGUUAUAAAUUGUCGCAUUUUUUUUUUAAUAUGCAGAGGAAUUAAUUGUUG
rnacentral:lncRNA from 1 species